rfam:Triticum urartu cultivar G1812 contig855381, whole genome shotgun sequence.
GAUGUACUCCCUCCGUCUGGAAAUACUUAUCCUAGAAAUGGAUAAAAGGGAUGUAUGUAUAACUAAGAUAAGUCUAGAUACAACCAUUUCUCCGACAAGUAUUUUCGGAUGGAGGGAGUAUAGU